rnacentral:lncRNA from 1 species
GCAAAACAUCAAAAUACCCAUAAACGCCUUAAAAUGACCAAGAUGUGUAAUGCCAGUGAAAUGUCAUUAAAAUGCAGGGGUAGGGAGAAAUUUCCCCCCUGGAAAAGUUUGAACGGAUACCUCAAGGAGGAAGCACUUUCAACUUCGAAGUCAAAUUACUGUGGGAAAUAUCUUCUUCCUUCGACUGGGGUAUAUACCCUGCUGUUCCAGCCAGUGCUGUAGCAGACAUUGAUAAAAGUUUUGGUUUUUAACAUAUUUUUUGACUGUUUCAAAUUAUUUUUGUUUCAGCAGGCCGAACGGUGGACAGCAUUCUGGGACCCAGCGGUCGAAUUUCGGCUUUGCAGCCUCCCCGGCUUUGAAACCUUCCGCACCAGCUCCAACGUUCGGUGGGUUAAGCCUGGUGAGCGACCUGGUCCUAUCGGAGGACAGCGACGACGACGAGAAGAAAGCGCCGCCGAUCCUGUCGCCGCCCUCGCCGGCCUCGCCGCCGACGCUCAACAUCUCCUCGCCGCCCCUCCCGCCCUCCGUGACGCCCCUCGGGCCCCUGGCUUCCCCCGGGCCCCUUGCGUCGCCCGCCUCCCCGGCACUCAAGCCCUUCCCGCCCUCCCCGGAGCUCGCCCAACUCAAGCCAUUCCCGCCCUCCCCCCCGUGGCGAGGCCCACCCCCUCGCCUACCCCGCAGCCUAAGCAAUCGUAAGUAACUUGAUUUUUUUAUGUAAGAAAUCGAACAGCAUUUCGUUAAGCAAAUCAAUCAGAGGACCUCGAAGGACAAGGUGCAUAAGUGCAGUUUCUGCUAUUUCGAGAAAUUCGCGUUGGAAGUUUCGAAAUUGCGUGGAUCCUAAUGGCGGAAAGAAAGUUCAUACUGACUUCUUGAUGCUUCAAAAUUAGAAUUGAAGAGCGAAUACUUCACAGAAUAUGCAUUAAGACUAAUUUUACUUGAUAUCAUGAAUAUCUCAAUUUUUUCAAGAACUGCCUCUCAUGCGCAUUGUCCUCCAAGGCCCCUUAUGUACUGGAUAACGGAGCUAGAUCAUUUGCCGGGGCAGGGCUCUAAACGCCUGGCCUCCCUAGAAGUUAGUGUGAUCCCCAACCUUAACCCCACUCACAGGGGGAUCUAGAGUUUAUAUAGAACACCCCCUUCCUGUGCAAAGUUGGGUGUGGGGGGUAUUCUCCGGGAAGGGCUGAAAAAUUGACUGCAUUUUAGAUACUUUUUGAGGCUGCCACGAAGUAAAUUUGCAUUAAAAAUUCUGUUGAUUUUGUGAUGGCAAGGAGGACAACUGACAAAACCGACUAAUCGCAUAACUCCAUUCCUCCGUACUGACUUACUGCCAUGCGAAGGAAAAGCGUUGUAUGAACCAUCAGGCAUUGCCAAAUUUCCUUUUAUCGAACUCGAAUUUCCUGGUAAACUUCUGAAUAUUUUCCUUCAAAUUUUUCAGAAGAUUUUGUUCUCAAUUUCUUCUUAAGUUCUUGAAAAUUUUAAGGAAAAAUAUGCAUAACAUCACUCAGAAAUAAACAUUCUAUCGAAGGAAAUUUGGCAAUUCUGGAAUGUUCAUACGGCGUUCUUCCUUAGCACGGUUUCGUGGUCUUGUAUUAUCCAAUCAAGUAACACAAAAUUGCAGCCAUUAGGCUGUAGUUUCUCAUGUCCUGAAAGUUUUCCACUUCUUUUUAAAAGUUAAAAUAGAGAAGUACUAGCUGUCAAUCUUCAGAUUAUUGAAACGUGCCCUCCCUCCGAAAGAGCAUGUAUUCACUAAAACGCAAAGAUUUCAGCAAAAUGAAUUUUACCCAUUUUUUCCUUGUUUGGUUCGGAUUCAUGAAGGAGGUGCACAGAUCAUAUUAAUAGAAUAAUAGAAAAUUGAUUUGUAACGUGGUUGCAUCAUUUUUUAGAAACCAGGGUUGCACUAAAAGUGAUCUCAGGAGCCACAGCUCCAGGAGCGAUCAAUUAUCCCCAUGAUUUGUUUUCCAACCUAAUUAUCUAGGUGUUGCAUCUAUUCUUGCAGAGCGCCGAAACUGUCUCCAGCACUGAUAAACUGACCUCGUC